rnacentral:rRNA from 1 species
GGUGAGUAACACGUAUCCAACCUGCCGUCUACUCUUGGACAGCCUUCUGAAAGGAAGAUUAAUACAAGAUGGCAUCAUGAGUCCGCAUGUUCACAUGAUUAAAGGUAUUCCGGUAGACGAUGGGGAUGCGUUCCAUUAGAUAGUAGGCGGGGUAACGGCCCACCUAGUCUUCGAUGGAUAGGGGUUCUGAGAGGAAGGUCCCCCACAUUGGAACUGAGACACGGUCCAAACUCCUACGGGAGGCAGCAGUGAGGAAUAUUGGUCAAUGGGCGAGAGCCUGAACCAGCCAAGUAGCGUGAAGGAUGACUGCCCUAUGGGUUGUAAACUUCUUUUAUAAAGGAAUAAAGUCGGGUAUGCAUACCCGUUUGCAUGUACUUUAUGAAUAAGGAUCGGCUAACUCCGUGCCAGCAGCCGCGGUAAUACGGAGGAUCCGAGCGUUAUCCGGAUUUAUUGGGUUUAAAGGGAGCGUAGAUGGAUGUUUAAGUCAGUUGUGAAAGUUUGCGGCUCAACCGUAAAAUUGCAGUUGAUACUGGAUAUCUUGAGUGCAGUUGAGGCAGGCGGAAUUCGUGGUGUAGCGGUGAAAUGCUUAGAUAUCACGAAGAACUCCGAUUGCGAAGGCAGCCUGCUAAGCUGCAACUGACAUUGAGGUUCGAAAGUGUGGGUAUCAAA